GGGUGGUUAGCUCAGUGGUAGAGCGUCUCGUUUACACCGAGAAUGUCGGGGGUUCGAAACCCUCACCGCCCACAA
rnacentral:tRNA from 1 species